GAUGAACGCUAGCUACAGGCUUAACACAUGCAAGUCGAGGGGAACGACAUCGAAAGCUUGCUUUUGAUGGGUGUCGACCGGCGCACGGGUGAGUAACGCGUAUCCAACCUGCCCAUCACUUGGGAAUAACCUUGCGAAAGUAAGACUAAUACCCAAUGAUAUCCCACGAAGGCAUCCGAAUGGGAUUAAAGAUUUAUCGGUGAUGGAUGGGGAUGCGUCUGAUUAGCUUGUUGGCGGGGUAACGGCCCACCAAGGCUACGAUCAGUAGGGGUUCUGAGAGGAAGGUCCCCCCANAUUGGAACUGAGACACGGUCCAAACUCCUACGGGAGGCAGCAGUGAGGAAUAUUGGUCAAUGGGCGAGAGCCUGAACCAGCCAAGUAGCGUGCAGGACGACGGCCCUAUGGGUUGUAAACUGCUUUUAUACGGGAAUAAAGUGGGCCACGCGUGGUCUUUUGCAUGUACCGAUGAAUAAGGACCGGCUAAUUCCGUG
rnacentral:rRNA from 1 species